UACGGAGGGGGCUAGCGUUGUUCGGAAUUACUGGGCGUAAAGCGCACGUAGGCGGAUUUGUAAGUCAGGGGUGAAAUCCCGGGGCUCAACCUCGGAACUGCCUUUGAUACUGCAAAUCUCGAGUCCGGAAGAGGUGAGUGGAAUUCCUAGUGUAGAGGUGAAAUUCGUAGAUAUUAGGAAGAACACCAGUGGCGAAGGCGGCUCACUGGUCCGGUACUGACGCUGAGGUGCGAAAGCGUGGGGAGCAAACAGG
rnacentral:rRNA from 1 species